GUGUAGUCGGGUAUGAGAACGAUUGCAAGCAAAAGCAGCUGAGGGACGCUGUCCAAGGAGUAGGCUCAGUAGCACGAACUGCAAAUACUUGAGAAGGGAAAAGUUCAGCCUUGUGCUGGAAAGUGGUUUAGCAUGCUGGAGCUGGUUUUCUGCUUGGUAGCCCUACAACUUUGGCCCAACUACUUGGCCUCUGGGACUCAGAUUCCUCCUCUUUAAAAUGGUGCUAAUAAUAGCACCCACCCUCUGUGAGGAGGAUGCUGUGAGGACAAAAUGAGAUCAUCCACAUAAGCCGUGAACCCUGUUCCUGGUAAGGAAAUGAAUAACAUGAAGUGAAGUCUUCAUCUCCAUUCCCAACAGUCCCCAUUCUACUUGCAGAAAGGUUGCUUACACUGAAAAUCAGUUUAUUUUCCCCUGGUGCAAAGAACAGUCGUUUCUCCAAAACUGAAGCUGGAAAUUAUCUGAAAUAUCAGGUCCUCCGGAAAAGGGACGUGAAGCCCCCUUUGUAAUUUCUGCAUUAGCGUGCUCUCCUGGCAAGCAGGAAACCUCAUCAGAGAAGUCAGCCAAGGAAAGUCUUUAAAUGGAAAUUGUGCAAACGAGGAGCAAAUGCAUUAAAAAGUUGCUGACGGGCAUGAAAUGCUUUGAUGUGAAGACGGAAAACUCCAAGCAGGAAGGAUUUUAACAUUUUGAAUCUGAUUGACUCUGUGGUUUCUCAGCACAGUUAUUCCAUGGGCUAAAAUAAAUGCAGAAAUGGUACUUUCAGACCACAGCUGCAGAGGGGAUCGUGGUGAAUUUCAAUGAAAAUCCAUUUGAAUCUUGAGGUUCAGAUCUUAAAAAAGCAAAGGACAUGAGAGAAGUAAUAUUGUUGCUUGAAAUUUCAUUGCUUAUAUCUAAAAGAAACUCCUAUUUUUAAGAGAAAUGUUGAAUCUUUGCAACGUGGUAGACGCUCCCACAAAACUUUCUCCUGAAAUAGGAGAUAAAUGUUGGAAAGAGGCAAUGUAUUGAGUAUGCUGAUAGAGGUGGAGUUCAGAGACAGGCAAGCAUACAUAAGAGUCAGGAUGUUUUUCAGUAUUAUCUUUACAAAUGAGUUUCUUACAGUGGUCAAUGACAAACCAAUUUCAUUCAAAGCUUGCUUCAAUAGGCAAUGGUUUGAUGCCAAUAUGUUAGCUAUUUACUUUGACCACCGUAUGCAUUAAAAAGAAGAAAAAUUAAGAAUACUCAAGCAGAACCUCCAACUUAGAUAGCACUUUCCACAAAAAGUAAUGGAGGGAUAGACUGAAGUUAAAUGGGAUCAGGUAUGUGAUGAGAUCUCAGAAGUGUUUGCACAAUAAUGCAGAUACUCAUUUUAAACAGAGUCAUAAGGAUUGGAACUAAUAAAAAUAAUAGAAUAAAAUACCGAUCAAGAAUGUGUCCUCCUGCGUAUCUGGGUUUUGAAUUCUGGCUCCACAGAACUUGUCAGAUAUAUGACAUUAAACAAGAUACUUCAACAUUCUGUGCCUUCAUUUUCUUAGCUGUAAAUAGAGAUUUUACUAGAACUCUAUAAGAUUAUCAUGAGAAUUACAUUAAUAUAUGUAAAGCUUUAGACAUAGUAUAUGGCACCUAGUAAGCACUCAAUUAAAUGUUAGUUACCAUUAGUAGCAGUGUAGAAUUAAAAAACAAAAACUGCAAACUGUAAGUUAGGCAUCUGGCUCUGCAAACUAGUGGAAUUCCCCAGACCUUAUUCUGGCCAUCUGUAAAAUGAAAGGGUUGGGCUAGAUCAUCUCUAAAUUUCCUUCCAACUUAAAAAACAUUGUUCAAAAACACAUUUUAGGAGUACGCAAAGUAUUUCAGCAGAAGGCGAUGUUUUAGCAGAAUAUUUUUAAAGGCACUUAAUCACUUUCACAAAAAAUGUGUUUCAUGGCUUGUACUUCCUCCUCUAUCAACUCCUGUUGGGACUUCACUUGCUGCUAUUCCACCGAAGUGGCUCCAGUCAGGGUCACAGGAUUUCUACGUUGUCAAGUCCAAUGGUCACUUCUUUAAACCUUUGGUACACCCAGUAGCACUUGACACAUCUGAAUCUGAUUUUUUCCUUCUUUGUCCAGUCACCAGCCUUUUUUUUUUUUUUUUUUUUUGAGAGUCUUUGUCUUCUAGGCUGGAGUGCAGUGGCGCAAUCUCGGCUUACUGCACCCUCCACCUCCCAGAUUUAAGGGAUUCUUGUGCCUCAGCCGGGUGCCACCACACCAGGCUAAUUUUUGUAUUUUUAGUAGAGAUGGGGUUUCUCCAUGUUGGCCAGUCUGGUCUUGAACUCCUGACCUCAGGUGAUCCACCUGCCUCAGCCUCCCAAAGUGCUGGGAUUACAGGCUUGAGCCACCCCGCAUGGCCGAGAUUGUCUUUUUAAUAAACAUUUUAUUUUACUCCUCUACUUAAAAUCCUGAAAUGGCUUUCCAUGACGUUUGUGAUCUAGACACUUUUGAUCUUAUUUUCUACCAUCUCUUCUUGUUCUUUGCAGUCCCUUCAGCCACACUGGCCUUCUUUCUGAACUUCAAACACCCCAAGCUUAUUCCUUGGAUUGGUUAGUACCUUUGCUUAGAAUUUUCACCUUAAAUCAUGGCUGGCUCCUUCUUGGCAUUGUUUCAGUAUAUAUGUCUCCUCCUCAGAGAGGCCUCCCUGAUUAAAUAGUACCCACUUCACUUAGUCUACCUUGCCCUGUUUCAUAUUCGUAAUGAAACGGUCUUAUUUUUACCAUGUCUAUCUCCCUCAAAGAAAGUAAGCCCCAUGAGAACAGGGAUAUUAUCUAGCUCAAUGCCAAGGACAGGUCCUCAAUAAAGCUAUGAAGGAAAAGAUAAAGAAGCCAGUUCCCCUUGCAUCAUGUUCAAAGUGUUCUCUGCCUUCCCUAAAUUUUAAUCACCCUUAUUGUCAGUCCCACUUAUUUGAUAUCACACAUCAUCCUGUAUUAUUAUGAAUUUUUUCCUACACAUAUGUCUUUUUUCUCCAAUCAUAUGAUACUUGUGGGAUGAGACUAUGAGACAUUUCAGGUGUCUCAGAAGUGAUGAGCCCUUGUUCACAAUUAUUCACUAAAUGUAUGUUAAAAUAUUUAAAGGGAGACAAAUUGACUAGUAAUUUACAAAAACCUAAAUUAUGACUGGUCAAAAGGAAGAAAACAAAAAAGUGCUUAAAUGUUUCAAUGAAAACAUGUCCAUCCAAUGGUUUAUAUUUUCCUAGGCAGUGGGAAAAGAAUGAGAGUUGGACUUCAGUUUUUAAGUGGGCAACCCAAAUUGUUUUGGUUCUUUAAAAAAAUUGGUUUGUUACUUAUGUUAGGAACAAUCUCUCUCUAGUCUAAAUAGAGAUCUAAGGAAAUGCAAUCUAAAGAAAAUCUAGUCUUGGUUGAAUAUAUUUUACUUUACAUUUUACAUACCUUAUUACAGCGAGUACUCACAGGCAAAAGUUCCAUUGUAUACAUUGAAGUCAACAAUCAUUUGUCUUUUCUGGACUUGACACUCUGCCAUGACUCCCCACCAUUGUACUUACUGGUUCAAACUCCUUAGCAGGUCCUACCAGACUGUCCAGGAUUAAGUCUUUAUUCACACCUUAGUCUUACCUCUUAUUCUGUCUCCCUUCAAGAUCCUCUUUUGUCCAAUACCCAACAGACACACAUUCGGCUCUAGACACAACAAAAAAGGCAGGCCCCCUAAUGAACUCUACCACUAUCCCCUCUACACUGUUUUCUCUUACACAUCCUGAUCUCUUCCCCACCUACCUAGUUAGCCUGGUUUACUCUCCUCUAUUAGGUUUUUGCCAAACUGCAAUUACUUUUGCACCAACCUAAUCAUCUUCUCUAGCAGGCCUUCCCUACCCCUGCCUACCUUCUUGCCCAGAUUGAAUCAGGCCCCAUCUAUGGAUUCUCAUAGUACCUGUGCUUACCCACCAUAAAGCACAUAUCACAUGACUGAAAUUUCCUUACCCAAGAUCAAAUAAAUGAAUAGCCCAAUUCAUUUUUUUAAUACUAUGCUAUAAUAUGAAGGUUUAUGCUCCCCCUUCAAAUUCAUAUCCUGACAUUCUGAUGCCCAAGGUGAUACUAUUAGGAGACAAGGACUUCUAGUGCUCUGUUGUUCCUGAUCUUAGAUGGAAAGCAUUAGCUUUUUACCACUAAGUAUAAUAUUAAGUUUAGAUUUUUAGUACAUGCUCUUUAUCAAUUUUAGAAAGUUCCUUUCCAUUCCUAUUUUUCUUAAAGUUUUAAUCAUGAAUGGGUAUAAAAUUUUGUCAAAUGCUUUUUCUGCAUUGAUUAGUAUAGUUAUAUGAUUUUUCUCUUUUAGCCUAUUAAUAUGGCCAGCUAUCUUAGCUGAUUUUCAAAUAUUGAACCAGCCUUGUGUUCCUGGAGGAAGCCCAUGGUUCUGCCCUCAAUAAUAAAAUCAGUGCCCUUAGAAAAACAGCCUGAUAGAGCAUGUUUGCCCUUUUCACCAUGUGAGUACACAGUUAAAAGGCCCCAUCCAUAAGGGGUGGGCCCUCAAGCAGACACCACUAGCACCUUAUCUUGGUCUUUCCAGCCUCCAGAACAGUGAGAAAUAAAUUUCUGUUGUUUCUAAGUUACCCCAUCAAAGACAUUUUGUUUCAGCAGUCAGAACAUACAAAGACACCCUAUAAUACCAAAAACAGGCAAAAAUGUACAAAAAAUGAAAGGUUUAGGCCAAUAUCCUUUAUGAAUAUGCAUACAGAAAUUAUUAGCAAAAUAUUAGCAUAUAGAAUUUACAAUAUAUAAAGAGAAUUAUACUCCAUGACUCCGUGACCAAGUGAGGCUUAUUCUAGGGAUGCAAGGCUGGUUCAAUAUUUGAAAAUCAAUGAAUGUAAUCAACCAUAUUAACAGGCUAAAGAAAAUAAAUCAUAUGAUUAAUCAAUGCAGAGAAAGUAUUCAACAAAAAUUUUAUACCCCUUCAUAAUAAAAACUCUUAAAAAAACAGGAACAGAAGAGAACUUCCCAAAAUUGAUAAAAAACAUUUACUAAAAACCUACAGCUAACAUUAUGCUUAAUGGUAGAAAGCUGAAUGCUUUCCUCCAAAGAUCAGGAAGAGUACAAGGAGGUGACUCUUGCCACUCUUAUUCAAAAUGGGGAUAGAAGUGCUAGUCUGUACAAUAAGUCAAGAAAAAGAAAAGGCAGGGAGAAUGAAAAGAUCCUAAAUUAAAACAUAAAACUAUGAAACUUGCAGGGAAAAAGCACAGAAAAUCUUUGCAUCUAGGGCUAGACAACUUUUAGAUUUGAUACCAAAAGCAUGGUCCAAAUCAGGAAAAUUGAUAAAUUGUGCUUCAUCAAAAUUAAAAAUCUUUUGCUCUGUAAGAGAUCCUGUUUCUCUGUUAGGACAAUGAAAAGAUAAGCUAUAGCCUGAGAUAAAAUAUUUUCAAAUUACAUAUCUGAUAAAUGAGUGCAUAAAGAAGUCUUAAAAACUCAAUAGUCAAAAAAUUAAAAAUCCAAUUAGAAAAUGGGCAAAAAUCAUGAAGAAUAAUUUUGCUGCAGAUGGUGUACAGAUGACAAAUAAGCAUCUGGAAAGAUGCUCAACAUCAUUAACCGUUAGGGAAAUCCAAAUUAAUACCACAGUAUAAUUACAAAGCUCUCAGAAUGGCUAAAAUAAAAAAUAGUUGACUACACCAAAUGCUGGUGAGAAUGUGGAAAAAUUGGAUCACUCAUAUGUUUCUGGUGGUAAGAUAAAAUAGCCUGGACACUGUGGAAAACUGUUUUGCAGUUUCUUAAAAAGCUAAGCAUGCAAACACCAUACAACUGCACUCCUGGGCAUUUGUCCCAGAAAAAUUAAAAUAUUCACAAAGAAACAUGUACAUGAAUGUUUAUAGCAGUUUCAUUCAUAAUAGCCACAUACAGAAAAAAAACCAUGUGUUUCUUAAUGGGUGAAUAAACCAUGGUACAUCUAUACCUUGGAAUACUACUUGUCAAUAAAAAACAAACAAUUGCUAAAUAAAACAACCUGAGAAAAUCUCCAGAGAACUAUACUGAGUGAAGGAAGAAAAAUCCCCAAAGAUUACACACUGUAUGUCAUUUAUAUAACAUUCUUGAAAUGACACAAUCACAGAAAUAGAGAAUACUGGUCACUAGGCAUUAAGGAAGGUGUGGAAGGAUGUAGUGAUGGGAGGAAAUGUGUAUGGCUGUAACAGGGCAACAGAGGCAUCAUUGUGAUGAUGGAAGUGUUCUGUAUCUUGUGUUUUUGAAUGUCAUUAUCCUGGUUGUGAUAUUGUACUUAGUAGUUUUGCAAGAUAUUACCACUGAAGAAAACUAGUUAAGGGUACACAGGAUUUUUCUGUAUUAUUUCUUAUAAGUGCAUGGGAAUCUACAUUUAUCUCAACAUAAGUUUCAUUUUAAGAAUUAUAUAUUUUCUGAAUCUUUAAUAAUGUGUCAACUAGAAUUUAACUGGGUAUAUUUUUAUGAUAGAAAUCUACCUUACCAUGCCCUUUGUCACUUGAGUAAUCAUAUAUUACAUGACUCAAAGGCACAGAAAUCCAGUAAGUAAAGAAAAAAGGUGUCUAUUUAUCUGGAGACAGGGUCUCACUCUGUUGCCCCAGCUGGAGUGCAGUGGUGCUAUCAUAGCUCACUGCAGCCUCAAUCACCUGGGCUCGAUCUCCUCCUGCCUCAGCCUCCCCAGUAGCUGGGACUACAGGUGCCACCACAUCCAGCUAAUUUUUUAUUUUCAGUAGAAAUUAGGUCUCACUCUGUUGCUCAGGCAGGUCUCAAACUCCUGAGCUCAAGCAAUCCUCCUGCUUCAGCUUCUGAAGUGCCAGGAUUACAAGUGUGAACCACUGUGCCCAGUCAUGGUUUUUUCUGUUGUCGUUGGGUUUUUUUGGUUGUUGUUUUGUUUUUGUUUUUAAGACUUGCACUGUCACCCAGGCUGGAGUACAGUAGCGUGAUCCUGAGACACUGCAACCUUUGCCUCCCAGGUUCAAGUGAUUCUUGUGCCUUGCCACCUGAGUAGCUGGGACCACAGCUGUGUGCCACCACGCCAGGCUAAUUUUUGUACUUUUAGUAGAGAUGGGGUUUUACCAUGCUGGCUAGGCUGGUCUUGAACUCCUGCCAGCCUCAUUUUAAAACAAAUUUUCUAACCAAAAAUAUACUCACAGGUUGAAUUCAAUGGCCCAGAAAAAAAGUGAAAGUAUAAUUGCCUUUAUAAUACAGUGCAAUAGACCAUAGAAUAUUUAAAUCUUUAAAUGGUUUGGCAUUUCCAUUGAAUUGUUUAUAUUCUAUGCAGACUUGUAUUAGUGUUAAUCCAUUAGCAAACACUAAAAUUAUAUAAGUGCUAUUAAUUUUAUUAGGAAAGAAAGAAGUGUACUUCUUUCUUCUGAUAUGAAUCAUGGUAGCGCUUGGAUGAACAUUAGAGCCUAUCCAGCACAAUUUUUUCACCUUAAGAGGAAAUGGAAGUAGUUGAAAUUUAAAUGUUGCAUCAAAGAUGAUACAGCUAAUAUCCAGCACACAAAGCCUCCUACAUUGAUUCUUAGAUAUACUUAGAAGUCACAAAUGCAAAAGCCUUUUACUAUUGUUACAAAACACAGCAAGGAGAUAUUUAUAUUCUGUAUCGUGUAAAGUCAUCCUGGAGUUGGGGAUCCAGCCUGGAAUUGCUGGGCAUCAGGGACAGUGAAGUUGUGCAAGCAUGUACAUUGUCUAACGCAUGCUCGAAGUUAUAUUUAUCUUCAGGACAUCCGAUUUGACUCACGUUCAUUGGUCCUAUAUUUUUAUCGGUUUUAAUUAACUAUGUCCUUUAGCAAUCCUUACCUCUAUCUUUCCCUUUUGCAUGUGUCAGGGUAAUCUCAAGUAUAAGUCACCCAGAGAGGAAGAAAAUAUUUUUUGUUUUAUCUUAUGUUUGUGGCUACUAAUAGCAGUAUUAAAAAUUAAAGUACAACAAAAUAUAUAAGAUUACAGAAUCCUAGGAAAAUAAAAUAGGAAUGUGAAAACAGAUCUAAUGAGGUAUUAAACCUCUAGCAGAGAGCCCCCAAUCUCUUAUCAUGUUUCUUUAAGUCAUUAGAAUUGUCCUGCAGGCUAAAAAGAGCUUCGUUCUGAUGAUGGCCCCAAAUGCUUUUUUCUCCCAAUGAUGUCAACUUGCAAAGUUUGGCACGUUCUCUUACAACAUUCUAAUGUCCAUUAAUGACCUCUUAAUGCUAAUUGGUACACAUUAUACCAUCUGUAAAUUUUAACACAUCAUGUUAUUUUCAACAAUACUUGUAUCUUCAUCCUAUUCUGGUAUCAGAUAAAGCCAACCAGGCAAAGGAAGCCAUCUUAAAGCAACACUGGUGUGAUUUUGCUCAGUCUGAGCAAGAGAUUCUUUGCUGAAAAAAACUACACCUAGAUGGGUCGUUUAAUUCAACUUUGUGAAGACACUAAAGGAUUGAUAAUGGCAAAGCAGGUUACACAAAGUUUACUGCCUAUUUGAUUUAAACAAUUAUUUAGGUGUAGAUAAGAAAAUACAACUUACAAUGGGUUUGUGGGAUAUAGUUUAGAAUUUGCUCUAAAGAAUCUGGGAUGACUAUAACCAGGGCCUUGGUUCCAGUCUAGCCUGGAGUCCCUUCCUUGUGUCAUCCAAGUUCACAAUUUGUCUUUGUGUGUUUGGUGCAGCUUCAGUCACAGUUGGGGAUAAAUUGGGAUUCAAUGUUCACAUUCUGAAUAUGGGUCCUUGUUAUAUACAAAAAUGUUUCUAAAUCUGUUAUUGGUAACACAGUAAAUGAAUUGGAUUAGGAGGUCAUUAUUAACAGGUCUGACAUCUGUGGGCCUGUCUAGCAGACAGGAUGCAAACAGACAACAGAGAGCCUCAAGGAAACAACAAACAAAAAUCAACAUGAAACAAAAAUAUCUGGCCAUAAAGAUGCAGAAGAUGAAGACUUUCGGAGUAGACUUGUAAAUUGGAGCGAACAGUGGGUCCAGGCACAGUGGGAGCCCCACCCACACCCCGUAACAGUCCUUCUAACCUUCCCCAUCCAACAUUCUUGCCUACCCUGACAGGGAAAGGACUGCAGUUAAGGGUCCAGUCCUACUGUGGGAUUUCUCCUGGGAGCGCGCUGGUCAUGAGAAGUGAAUAGAGUUUCUCUUCAUUCCCCACGAAGAGAGAAGAGCCCCAGGGGUCGGUGAAUCUGAAGGAUCAGCUGCAGCAGUCGGAGGAGAAGGAAAAAAAAAAAAAAAACAGAGAAAAGAAGAAAGAUCACGUUGCAGCACUGGGAGCAGAUAUCACAGGCUUCCUUGCCAACAGACUUCCCGAAGGCACAGUUGGCACAUUGUCUGAGAUGACAGACAAGAUGCAAGGGACUCCUGUGACCCUUACAGGGGAAGCUUCUGCUGUGGCUGGUAGGAUGGUAGCUUUAACUCAUCCUCCAUAAUACCAAAUGUCACUUUGUGGGGGUAGCCUUCUGGCAUUGACACUUGUUUUUGUAUGCCAUAGUUCAAAGUACCACACUACGAAAUAGCUCCAGAAUGUGCCUUGUAACAUUUAGUCACAAUAAGGGCAUUUACAUUCUUCCCAAAUAUCCUUUCAAAAAAAAAAAUCAGUAGAUUCACACUCUUGAGUGAGAUGCAAAAUUGCAAAGGGUUCAAGAUAUGUUCUUGGUCCUUAGAACAGAAAACAUAUUCUUCUUGUACUCUGUUUAGUGAGUUCAGUUAAGGCUAUUAGUUUCUGAGCUGUUUUAUAAGCCAGGAGUCGGCCCACUGCUGUCUCCCUUGACUAUACAUUCAAUAAAUAGAAUGUGAUUAUACAAAACUAAAUUUUCCAGAACCAUUAUUGAAAGUGCCAUAGGAACGUCUAAUUAAUAAGAAUACUAUAGAGGAAUAAUCAGGAUAUUACGAAUUAAAUCCUGUCCCUCCAAAAGAUACAUUCAAGUACUAAGUCCUGGUACCUGUGAAUGUAACCUAAUUUGGAAAUACAGCCUUUGCAAAGGUAUUUCGUUUAAGGCUGUACUAAAUUGGGGGAAGAUGCUAAUCCACUACGACUAGUGUCUUUAUCAAAGGAAAAAAUUUGUACAUAGACGUGGAAACAGGGACACAGAAGAAAGAACAUUAUGCGAAGACAGAAGUGGAGAUCGGGGUUGAUGCUGCCACAGGUGAAGGAACACCUGGGCUACAAGAAGCUGGAAAAGGCAGGGAAGGGUUCUCAUCUCAAAGUCUUUGAGGCAGCAAGGCCCUCCCAACAACUUGAUUUUGGACUUCUACCCUCCAGAACUCAGAGAGAACAAAUCUCUCUUGUUUUAAGCUACACAGUGUGUGGUAUUUUGUGGCACUCCAGGCAGCUAGAGGAAUAAGUCUUUGAAGCUUGCAAGGGAGUUCUGGUGGUGUAUCACAGUGUCCACCUCAAUGGAUUAAUUUGUAGUCAUCAACAUAAAUAAAUCUGGAUUUUUAAAAGGGAUGAAGCGUGUUUUCUGAUAAACUAAAAUCUCUAUGUUAUAUAGAAGACGCACAAUCACUAAUGAAGAUACACUUACACAACCUAAGUGCCACAAAGAAUCCUCUUCCAGAAAUAUCCUUCCAGGAGAGGCCAUCUCUCAAGCCUACUAUUUGUUACACUCUUCACUGUAAGGAUUGCAUAACCUAUAGCCCACUGAAUGUGAAGAACAUGUGCAAAAUCCUGGUAUUUCAAUUGUUAGCGCUUUUCAGGUAUGGCUUUAUAAGACAAGCACUGAUGACAACCACUUAUAUUCAAUACAAAGAGUUUUGUGUUUAGCCACUUGAGAACAGGGAUUACUUUAGAUAGAUCUUAGUAUUCCAAUAAACUGGCACAGUAUCCACCACAUAGUGAGUGCCAAAAAUGGUUGAGGAAGUUGUAGACAUUAAAUAUGUGUAAGUGGUUGGUUAAACAUGAGGGAGAUAACCUGUAACUGAAAACCGAGUAAAAGUAUUUAAUAUCAGGUUGGUGAAAAAGUAAUCGUGGUUUUUACAAUUACUUUUAAUUUACAUUACUUUAUAUGUAUGCAAACAACAUAGUUUGCAAGGAUAUUCACAUACAUUAUUUAAUUUUCAAAACAACAGUGUCAAAUAGAUAUUAUUGUGUUUUAUGGACAGGAAAUUGAGGCUCAGGUAAUAUCAAGUGAAAUCCCCAAGAUCAUAUAAUUAAUAAAUACUGUAAAAACGGUAGAAGUGACUCACAUUUCCAAUCUCCAUGCUAUCUCAUAUACUCUAAUUGCCUCUUGGGGAAACAUAGGCUGGAAGAAGACCAGGCCUCAUUGUAAACUCUCGAGUGCCCAGAAAUUAUUUACUUCAACUAUUUCUAUCACAGUUUGUCCACUUUAAAUGGGGUAGAGAUUUUCUGAAACCUCCUUUCUCAUUUGAACAAUCUGAGAAUACAUGUGUUUAGGCUUAAAUCAUACCAGAAACUGUCAGGCAGAACAGUCCCUUUGUAAGCCCAAGGAUUAUACAACUUUAGUUGUAUAAUUUAGUUGUAUGAUUAUACAACUAAAAUUUUAACCAGAUACAGUCCCAAAUGAAUUAUGUUAAUUCACUCUAUUAUUUCUCUUUUUAAGAUUACAGAAAUUUUAUGCCAAUUUUAUCUACAUUAUGCUGCAAUAUUCUAAAUAUCCCUAAUUAAAUACCAACUAUUUUGAUGAAAUAUUUUCUUUAAAGUCAUCAUUUAUUAUCAUCUGAUAUGAAAACCAUUCCUACUAGACACUGGAUGCUUUAACUGCCCAGCAUCUCUCUAAUAUGAAGUAACAGGUCCUGAACUCUGCCCCUACCAGCAUGUCCUUCAAAAUCAUCACUAUGGGAGGAAGCAUAAGAACAAUGCAGCUGUGUCUUCUGGGCCCAAGCUUGGUGAAUCCCAGUACUUUCCUAGGAAUCUGGAAUUUGGACCUGAGAAUCAGAGAUGUCAGGGGUCAUUCAAGCUGCAUCACAUAACUGCAGUGUUCUAGGAAGGAGGUCCAGGAUGCCUGGCUACCAAAUUCCCUGAAGCUCGUCGUCUUAAUAUAAAGUUGCUUGUAAGAUAUUCUGAAAGACUAGCCAGAAAUAAAUCAGCCAAAAACUAAUUCUGAGAGCAUAAGCCUGACCAGAAUAAAAUUUAACUACCUCAUUACAAAUGAAAUUUCAAAACUCAUUUGGACAUUUCAUAAUGAAACCCAUCAUCUAUAGUACAAGCCAUGCUAUGGAUGACAAAAAAAUUAAUAAGUCACACUUAACACUAUUGAACUGUAUACUUAAAAAUCGUUAAGACAGUAAAUUUCAUGUUAUGUGUUUUUUAUCGCAAUAAAAAUUUCUUUAAAACCAUCCCCCAAAAGUAAUAUAGAAUUAACAUACUAGUUAUGAAUAUAGUAUUUAUCCAGAUGAAGUUUCCUCUUUCCAGUUGAUGAGGAUUUAAAUUUGUUGGUCAUGACAAAGAGAUGAGGCUCCAAAUGUGGCCCUGAAUAAUAAUAAAUUGUACUCUUGAAGAAAUUGAUAUACACUAGCAGUGAUGUGCCGGUCAAAGUUUAACAAUCAGCUCUCAAACAAUAAAAAAGCUCUGAUUUUGUAGCACUGGUCAGUUUCCAUGAUAUAAAUAUUCCCAUCAUGGCCUAUUUCAAGCUAUUUAUGUGGCGUCAGUCAACACAGAGUUGUGAAGAGAUGCAGACAACUGGCUCUCUUGAGAGGGCUUCAGCAUACCACGGGGGUCAUGGAAAACAAAACCACCCCAGAUAUCUCCUGUGUCAUUUCAUUUAUUUCAGGCUCAAAAUGUAUUGAUGUAAGGAAAUGAGCCUAACAAGUAUGACGUGGCUACUGUGUGCCAGACCCAUUUAAAAUGAUCUAAUUUUAUAAUGUUAUGUAUACCACUGAAUUGUACAUUUAAAGGGUGAAUUUUAUGGUAUGUGAAUUAUAUCUCAAUUUAAACAAAUGUUCUGUAUAAUUCCUCAUCACACAAUUGACUAUAUUUCAGGAAAGAUUUUUUUCCAUAUUAAAAAAAAAUCCUUUUAAGUUCGCCCAAAUGAAAGAUUGCAGACAGUGAAAAGUCAUUAUCUUUUUCAUCAUGGGCACUGUUGUUACCUGAAUGCUUACCUAAAUUGCAUGCUGUAGCAGUUUAUAGUGUUCACCUCUGGGGCACAAGUAACAAGAGGGUAACUUGGAAGUUUCUCCUGGUAGCUUAAUGUUAGGGUGCAGUCUGUAAACCUGUCAGCUCUUUGCCUUUCAUAAAAACUGAUGUUGGUAUUUGUAGAAGGUUAUUGGUCCCAGCAAGAAUCACAGUCGAUAACUGUUCCAGUUGUGCUUCAAAAGAACCAAUGAUGUUAUAGAAGAUGAGAGCUUCAAUUUUUAUCUGUAUGACAAUUUAAAUAUAUUUAACCAUUCUUUUAGAAAAUUAUAUUCUCAUUAUUAAAACAAUGAUGCAAGUUACAAUACUAAAAUCAUAAAAUUCUGGACUGAAGAAUGCCUACAAAUUUAUUCUGACAUAUUUCUUUUAUAGACGAAAAGAGACGCCGGGCGUGGUGGCUCACGCCUGUAAACCCAGCACUUUGGGAGGCCGAGGCGGGUGGAUUAUGAGGUCAGAAGAUCAAGACCAUCCUGGCUAAUACGGUGAAACCUCAUCUCUACUAAAAAUACAAAAAAUUAGGCAGGGGUGGUGGCAGGCACCUAUAGUCCCAGCUACUCGGGAGGCUGAGGCAGGAGAAUGGCGUGAACCCAGGAGGUGGAGCUUGCAGUGAGUAGAGAUCGCGCCACUGCACUCCAGCCUGGGCGACAGAGUGAGACACCAUCUCAAAAAAAUAAAAAUAAAAAUAAUAGAUGAAAAGAGAAUUAUCUAAUAAUAACCCUUUUCUCUUCAAAAGAGAACUAGAACUAGCAACUAGAGAACUCAUUAGUUACUUGAACCCUGGCUCCAGCUUCCUCCUCACCACCCUGCCAUGUGGCAUUGAAAUUCAGAACGUUUUCCUAAAUUCCUACCUUAAUUUCCCAUUCCAGAAACAGCAGACUUCUUCAAUGAAAUCUUCUCUGUUUUGUACAUUUUCAGUAUAGUAGUUCCCCCUUAUCCACGGUUUUGCUUUCCACAGUUUCAGCUACCCAGGACACCAUCUGAAAAUAAGUGAGUAGAAUAUAUUAAGAUUUUUUUUGAGAGAGAGAGCAUAUUCAUGUAACUUUUAUUAUAAUAUAUUGUUAUCAUUGCUCUAUUAGUGUUGUUAAUCUCUUACUGUGCCUAAUUUAUAAAUUAAACUUUAUCAAAAGUGUGUAUUUAUAGGGGAAAACAUAGUAUAUAUAGUGUUUGGUACGAUUCAAAGUUUCUGGCAUCUACUGGGGAUCUGGGAACGAAUCCUCCUCUGUUAUAGGGGGACUACUGUACAUCUAGAUAUUUACAUCAUUAAGAAACAAUGCUUGGAACAUACUAGGUUAUCAAGAGUUAAUGCAUAUCUUUCAACUUAAUAUGAUUCGGCUCUGUGUCCCCAACCAAAUCUCAUCUAAAUUGUAAUUCCUACAUAUCAGGGGAGGGACUAGAUGAGAGAUGACUGGAUCAUCGAGGUGGUUUCCCCCAUGCUGUUCUCAUGAUAGUGAGUUCUCAGGAGAGCUGAUGGUUGCAAAGUGUGGCACUUCCUCUUGUCACACUUGUGUAAAAGGCACCUGCUUCCCCUGUGCCUUCCGCCAUGAUUGUAAGUUUUCUGAGGCCUCCCAGCCAUGCUUCCUGUUAGGCCUGCGGAACUGCGAGUCAAUUAAACCUCUUUCCUUUAUAAUUACCCAGUCUCAGGUAGUAUUCUUUAUAGCAGUGUGGGAACAGAAUAAUACACAACUCUCAAUUUCUCACUUCUAAUAAUGAAACUUACAACUUAUGUUGAAUCUAGUGUCCACAGUUUCAACUAUAAGUUUGAUUUCAUACUAUUCAAUAUAUAUGAAUACACACACAUUAACAUAUAUAUAUAUCUACAUACUACCUCAAACAGUUGUUUUUGCACUGGUUCUGCCUUUAAAGGUAAUUGGCGGCUGGGCGCGGUGGCUCACGCCUGUAAUCCCAGCACUUUGGGAGGCCGAGGCAGGUGGAUCACCUGAGGUCAGGAGUUUGAGACCAGCCUGGACAACAUAGUGAAACCCCAUCUCCACUAAAAAUACAAAAAUUAGCUGGGCAUGGUGGCAUGCACCUGUAAUCCCAGCUACUGGGGAGGCUGAGGCAGGGGAAUUGCUUGAACCUGAGAGGCGGAGGUUGUGGUGAGCUGAUAUCGCACCACUGCACUCCAGCCUGGGCGACAGAGCAAGACUCUGCCUCAAAAAAAAAAACAAGUAAUUGGCAAUAAGGUAUAAAAGUUGACAGUGUUACAUGCUAGUCAGCAAAAGGAAAAUUUUAGAUUCCAACCAUAUCAUCACCAAUAUAGCUAGUAAUAGUGGCUAAACUUCCUGGAGCACUACAUUUCAUACCUUAAAUGAUUGUCAUAAUUUUAAAAGUAGGAGCUCUUAUUAAUCCCAUUUUUUACUCAAGGAAAUUGGGAAAAAGAAAAGGUAGCUUGCCUACUACUACAUGUUGCAGCCCAACCUUGAACACAGGUAGUCAUCUCUACGGCCUUGGGCACUUCAUAUGAGGUCUACACAGCCCUCAUCAAUGAGGUCUAAUUAGCCCCACCCUAACCUUUUACAGUUGCAAGGAAUGCUUUCUGAAAAGCAGAUGAAGUACUGGGGGCUAAGGAGGAGUGAUGGAGAUGCCAGAGAACAGAGGCUCCUACAUUCCUUCCUUCUCUCCCUCAUUCCCUCUCUUCUAGGGAUGGAAUUAAUGUCCAUCUGCCCCUACAGUCCACAAACUCCUUAGGAGCAUAACUAUAGGACUUUACGGUAUUCGGCAUUGUAUCUCCAGCAUCUAGUAUAAUACCAAGCACAUAAUAGGCAUUUGAUAUUUAUGGAAUGAAUGAAUCCUUUCAGGUUUUGAGUGUUAAAUGAAAAUGCACAGGACAUGAAGAAUUUGCCACAAUAUCUGACAUGUUCUAGGUGCUUAAUAAAUAUUAGUUACUGUUAUUCUACUGUUCUUAUCUACUGUUACUAUUAUUUGUCUAUAGAAUAACCUUAAGCAGAGUAAAGGUUCUAUUUCAUUGCUCCAUUGUUUAUUUUAUUGAUCCCCUGUUACCUGAUCUUUAAAUGGGUCCCAUUUUAUUCACAGAACAGAGUCAACAUGAGUGUGAGGACGGUCAUUAUUAUUCUCAACACACAUGCA
rnacentral:lncRNA from 1 species